UAUUGGAAUUAUUCAAAAUAACAUAGCAACAAGUUAAAAUAAGACUAUUCGUCAACACCUUGUAAAAGUGCGCACCGAUUCGGUGUUUUUUUU
rfam:Streptococcus pseudoporcinus LQ 940-04 Contig1216510750, whole genome shotgun sequence.